UACAGAGGGUGCGAGCGUUAAUCGGAAUUACUGGGCGUAAAGCGUGCGUAGACGGCUAUCUAAGUCGGGUGUGAAAGCCCCGGGCUCAACCUGGGAAUUGCAUUCGAGACUGAAUAGCUAGGGUGCGGUAGAGGGAAGCGGAAUUUCCGGUGUAGCGGUGAAAUGCGUAGAUAUCGGAAGGAACAUCAGUGGCGAAAGCGGACUUCCAUGGACC
rnacentral:rRNA from 1 species